CAUAAUAGUAAUGAAUAAUGAUUAUUAUAAAUUAAUUUUUUCUACGGUCUCUUUGAUGUACAGGGCAUGUACUCAUAUUGGAGCAGUUUUCACAUAGUCUGUGAUUGUGUCCACAUAAAUACAAUACUCCGGAUGAGAGACACUGACUGGUUUUAUGACAGCCAUCACACUCUUCAUUUGCUAUUGGUACUCUAUAAAACAAUCCAGCACAAAUAUAAAGGAAAUAAGUAAGUGUUUGAGAUAAUAAAGUAUAGCUAACGAUAAUUAUUUCUUAAGUUACAUGUAAGUAAUAAAGUUUUUUGUGAAAUUCAAACACAGUAUAAAGAGAAAGGGUUCGCUAGGAUUUCCUGCCAUAGCCCGGAUGGACUGGACAUUCACUCAUGCUAUCAUGAUCUCCACAAAACGUAUUCCGUUACCAACGGAUGUUAUUGACUCACCAUUAAUCUUGCUUAGCGUCGUACUUUCGGCCGUCCUAAAAACCCCAGGGAGAUCCCCUUACGUUACAAGAGAUAAGAUACGCUAUCUCUCUCUCACCAACAAACAGGUUCAACUGAAUUGUGGGGCAUGUACUCAUAUUGGAGCAGUUUUCACAUAGUCUGUGAUUGUGUCCACAUAAAUACGAUACUCCAGAUGAGAGACACUGACUGGUUUUAUGACAG